UUUAUGAUAGAGCACCAGAUCUUGCCACUGCUAAGGCAAAUCGUCCGGAGGGAUUGAUUAGUUCAUCUACAUGGGAGGAAUUGUGUGAUCAAUUUUUUUCUAUAUCUGAUUCUAGUGGUGAUGGCAAGGUAAAUUAUAUUUCUUUUGAUUUUUUUUUUUCUAAUUUGUCAUGUUCAAAUAAAUUUAAUCGAAGUUUAUUAACAUGUGUCUAUUCACAGUCCAAGUCUGAUAAAUGCCGAGAAUCCCGAAUGAAAAUCCCUACCGACCACCAUUGGGGUCGAACUAGUAUUAGUGGGUGGUCUCAUGAACAUCUUCAAAAAUUUGGUAAAGCUCCUACCGUGGUUGAUAA